UACAGAGGUCCCAAGCGUUGUUCGGAUUCACUGGGCGUAAAGGGUGCGUAGGUGGUCAGGUAAGUCUGAUGUGAAAUCUCUGGGCUCAACCCAGAAACUGCAUUGGAUACUAUCUGGCUAGAGGAGUGGAGGGGGGGACUGGAAUACUUGGUGUAGCAGUGAAAAUGCGUAGAUAUCAAGUGGAACACCAGUGGCGAAGGCGAGUCCCUGGACACUUCCUGACACUGAGGCACGAAAGCUAGGGGAGCAAACAGG
rnacentral:rRNA from 1 species